rnacentral:rRNA from 1 species
CGUAGGGUGCGAGCGUUAAUCGGAAUUACUGGGCGUAAAGCGUGCGCAGGCGGUUUUGUAAGACAGGCGUGAAAUCCCCGGGCUCAACCUGGGAACUGCGCUUGUGACUGCAAGGCUAGAGUACGGCAGAGGGGGUGGAAUUCCACGUGUAGCAGUGAAAUGCGUAGAGAUGUGGAGGAACACCAAUGGCGAAGGCAGCCCCCUGGGUCGAUACUGACGCUCAUGCACGAAAGCGUGGGUAGCAAACAGGAUUAGACACCCUGGUAGUCCACGCCCUAAACGAUGUCAACUAGGUGUUGGGUGGGUAAAACCAUUUAGUACCGGAGCUAACGCGUGAAGUUGACCGCCUGGGGAGUACGGCCGCAAGGUUA